GUGCUCACUUUGACAGCACAUAUACUGAGACUGGACUGGCAGAGAAGAUUAGCACCACCCCUGUGUGGGGAUGACACUUAAAUUCAUGAAGUGUUCCAUAUUAAA